rnacentral:rRNA from 1 species
AUUGAACGCUAGCGGGAUGCCUUACACAUGCAAGUCGAACGGAGUGGCGAACGGGUGAGUAAGGUAUCGGAACGUGCCCAGUACCGGUGGAUAACUACGCGAAAGCGUAGCUAAUACCGCAUACUUUUGCAGCGGCCGAUAUCGGCUUAGCCAGUUGGUGUGGUAACGGCUCACCAAGGCGACGAUCCGUAGCUGGGUUGAGAGGACGACCAGCCACACUGGGACUGAGACACGGCCCAGACUCCUACGGGAGGCAGCAGUGAGGAAUUUUGGACAAUGGGGGAAACCCUGAUCCAGCCAUCCCGCGUGUGCGAUGAAGGCCUUCGGGUUGUAAAGCACUUUUGGCAGGAAAGCGGUACCUGCAGAAUAAGCACCGGCUAACUACGUGCCAGCAGCCGCGGUAAUUC